rnacentral:rRNA from 1 species
UCGACCUCAAAUCAGGUAGGACUACCCGCUGAACUUAAGCAUAUCAAUAAGCGGAGGAAAAGAAACUAACAAGGAUUCCCCUAGUAACUGCGAGUGAAGCGGGAAAGCUCAA